AGGGUAAAUCUUAAAAAGUUGUAACAGUUUUCUAAAAACCAAAAUAUAUAAUAUUUCAAAGGGUAAAUCUUAAAAAAUCUAAUUAUUUUUGUUCUUAUUUAUUUCUCUUAUAUACUAAAGUACAAGUCACUUGACCGACCAAAUUUGACAUGUGUAAUUUCCUUACAAAGCCCUAAAAAAAGUAAUCUGUUUUCACAAAGUUCAAAUUUAACAUACUACCAAAAAAAAUCAAAACUAUCUCAAGUUCCUUUAAUUUUAUGUAAUAGAAGAUGUUAUCUGUCAAGCGAAGGUAACAGCGGACGAUGUGCUUUAGAAGCCUAGGAGAAGGUGCUUCUGCAAGUGAAGUCACCAUAUUCCCCAAAACUCGACUCAGAGCAAAGAAUCUAUCCACACAGACGCACAUGUAACGAAGCCCUUCGUUGUCCAGCAAAAUUUUCUGGAUAAUGAAGGUUGCAACCUGACAUUAAAAAAAAAACAAAAACAAAUCAAUCUAAUGGGCUGUUGCAUUGCCGAAAUCAAUCAUAAGAAGCAUCUGAAAGUAGAGAAAACUCACAGUUUUUGAUAACUCGCUGCCACUUUCCAUUGUCUGGAGGCACAAUGGGAUGAUUUCAGUUUCAAGAAGGAACUUGAUCACUUCCGUAUCCUCAACCUACCAAAACAAAUGAACAAUGUUGCUAACACCAAUAUAAAAAUAACAAUGAUUCUGUGAUGUCUUAACAGUUUUCACUCAAAGGUUUUAGCAUGUUAAAAUGGUUGAUUAAUUCUCAGAUUAUAUACUUGCCAGGGGAAAAUGGUUUUAAUAGCUAGACAUACCUUGACAAGUGCACCAAAUAUUAUAAGAAUGAUGAAACUUGAUCCUCAUGAACAAAAAACAUUUGUUAGCAUCAUCGAUACUCAAAGAAGGUGCUGCAUGGAUCGAUGAUAAUAUCAGAGGUGGAUAUGGAGUGAUACAAAAGCUGAUUAGGGAAAUCAAAUUACAUGAAACCUAUCUUUCUAUGAUAAGGAAGAAGAUUUCAGAAGAAAAAAAAUUAGUUCUACUUUUACAUCAGUAUAUAUAUAUAAUGAAAUUUAACAAUCUUCAUUUAUCCAAGAAUAAUUACUCAAUGUUUAAUCAUAUCAAAUGUUGAAAUUUAAAACACACCAUGAGCAUAAUGUAAUUGGUGCGAGUUAAUCACUUAAUUGUGCAUGCGUUAUAGUGAUCAUAAAAGAAGAGACACUUUGAAAAUGUGUAUUGAAAUUUUUUAAAAAAAAAAUCAUUGAACAACCAAUUCAGUAGUUAAUAAUUUCUUCUAUUAUACAUUUUCUAAUGAUAAUACAGUUAUGUGAGUUGCAAAUACAUUUAUGUAUACAAGAUUGACAAAUAAAAAUUUAUACUAAUGAAAUAGACCUUUUGAGGUUCCAUGGGAUGUCCACAUAAUCAAAGUAAAAUCUCCUGAAAAAUACCACGUGGCAUUAUUGCUAAAAAAUAAAAAGUAAAUAUACAAUACAAAGAAAUAUAAAUAAUAAGUAAUAUAUAAUAUAAAAAUAGAAAUAUUACAUUGAACAUUUAUUAUAAUAUUAGAAGAAGUAAAUAUAAAAUAUAAGAAAAAUAAAUAAGAAGUAAAUAUAUAAUAUAAGAAAUAGAAAACUACAUUAAAAAUCUAUCUGAAAAAUAUAUAAUAAAAAAAUAAUAAGUAAAUAUAUUGUAUAAAAAAGAGAUAUUACAUUAAACAUCUAUCGUAAUAUUAGAAUUUGAUAUAAAAGCAAAACAAUUAGAAUAAGUAAAUAUACAAUAUGAUAAAAAAAAUGUAAAUAUGCAAUAUUUGAACACAUAAAUAUUUAAUAUAAAAAUAAAUAAUAAAUAAAUAUAAAUUAAGAAAUGGAAAUAAAUAAAUUAACUAUCUAUCUGAAAAAUCUAAAGUAGAAUAAAUAAUAAGUAAAUAUACAAUAUAAGAAAUAAAAAUAUUAUAUUAUACAUGUAUUGUAAUAUUAGACUAAGUAUAUAUACAAUACAAAAAAAUAAACAAUAAGUAAAUAUAUAGUAUAAUAAACAUAAAUAUUACAUUAAACAUCUAAUUUAAUAUUAUCAUUUGAUAUAAAAGCAAAAAAUUGGAAUAAUUAAAUAUACAAUAUAUAAAAAUAAACAAUAAGUAAAUAUAAAAUAUCAAAAAUGGAAAAACUAAAAUUAAACAUCUAUGUGAAAAAUGUAUAAUAAAAUAAAUAAUAAGUAAAAAUACACAUAAAAAAAAACAUAUUACAUUAAACAUCUAUUAUAAUAUUAGAAUAAGUAAAUCUAAAAUAAAAGAAAAUAAAUAACAAGUAAAUAUAUAAUAUAAGAACUAGAAAACUACAUUAAACAUCUAUCUGAAAAAUAUAUAAUAAAAUAAAUAAUAAGUAAAUAUAUUGUAUAAGAAACAUAAAUAUUAUAUUAAACAUCUAUCGUAAUAUUAGAAUUCAAUAUAAAAUCAAAACAAUUAUAAUAAGUAAAUAUAAAAUAUAAGAACAAAUAAAUAAAAAGUAAAUAUACAACCUUUGCAAAGUUUACCGUAGAGCAGAUCUGUCCAAAUUUUUUAUGAUCCCUCAUAUGGUCUUCUUGAAUCAGCUUUUAUUUCUUAUACCAGUCUCCAGUAAGCAAAAAUAAUUUCUAAAAUAUUAAGGGUAAAUCUUAAAAAGUUGUAACAGUUUUCUAAAAACCAAAAUAUAUAUUAUUUCGAAGGGUAAAUCUUAAAAAAUCUAUUUAUUUUUGGUCUUAUUUAUUUCUCUUAUAUACUAAAGUACAAGUCACUUGGCCGACCAAAUUUGACAUGUGUAAUUUCCUUACAAAGCCUUAAAAAAGGUAAUCUGUUUUCAAAAAGUUAAAAUUUAACAUACUACCAAAAAAAAAUCAAAACUGUCUUAAGUUCCUUUAGUUUUAUGUAAUAGAUGAUGUUAUCUGUCAAGCGAAGGUAACAGCGGACGAUGUGCUUUAGAAGCCUAGGAGAAGGUGCUUCUUCAAGUGAAGUCACCAUAUUCCCCAAAACUCGACUCGGAGCAAAGAAUCUAUCCACACAGACGCACAUGUAACGAAGCCCUUCGUUGUCCAGCAAAAUUUUCUGGAUAAUGAAGGUUGCAACCUGACAUUAAAAAAAAAACAAAAACAAAUCAAUCUAAUGAGCUGUUGCAUUGCCGAAAUCAAUCAUAAAAAGCAUCUGAAAGUAGAGAAAACUCACAGUUUUUGAUAACUCGCUGCCACUUUCCAUUGUCUGGAGGCACAAUGGGAUGAUUUCAGUUUCAAGAAGGAACUUGAUCACUUCCGUAUCCUCAACCUACCAAAACAAAUGAACAAUGUUGCUAACACCAAUAUAAAAAUAACAAUGAUUCUGUGAUGUCUUAACAGUUUUCACUCAAAGGUUUUAGCAUGUUAAAAUGGUUGAUUAAUUCUCAGAUUAUAUACUUGCCAGGGGAAUGUGGUUUAAUAGCUAGACAUACCUUGACAAGUGCACCAAUUAUUAUAAGAAUGAUGAAACUUGCUCCUCAUGAACAAAAACAUUUGUUAGCAUCAUCGAUACUCAAAGAAGGUGCUGCAUGGACCAAUGAUAAUAUCAGAGGUGGAUAUGGAGUGAUACAAAAGCUGAUUAGGGAAAUCAAAUUACAUGAAACCUAUCUUUCUAUGAUAAGGAAGAAGAUUUCAGAAGAAAAAAAUUAGUUCUACUUUUACAUCAGUAUAUAUAUAAUGAAAUUUAACAAUCUUCAUUUAUCCAAGAAUAAUUACUCAAUGUUUAAUCAUAUCAAAUGUUGAAAUUUAAAACACACCAUGAGCAUAAUGUAAUUGUUGCGAGUUAAUCACUUAAUUGUGCAUGCAUUAUAGUGAUCAUAAAAGAAGAGACACUUUGAAAAUGUGUAUUGAAAUUUAAAAAAAAAUCAUUGAACAACCAAUUCAGUAGUUAAUAAUUUCUUCUAUUAUAUAUUUUCUAAUGAUAAUACAGUUAUGUGAGUUGCAAAUACAUUUAUGUAUACAAGAUUGACAAAUAAAAAUUUAUACUAAUGAAAUAGACAUUUUGAGGUUCCAUGGGAUGUCCACAUAAUCAAAGUAAAAUCUCCCAAAAAAUACCACGUGGCAUUAUUGCUAAAAAAUAAAAAGUAAAUAUACAAUACAAAGAAAAAUAAAUAAUAAGUAAUAUAUAAUAUAAAAAUAGAAAUAUUACAUUGAACAUUUAUUAUAAUAUUAGAAGAAGUAAAUAUAAAAUAUAAGAAAAAUAAAUAAGAAGUAAAUAUAUAAUAUAAAAAAUAGAAAACUACAUUAAAAAUCUAUCUGAAAAAUAUAUAAUAAAAAAAUAAUAAGUAAAUAUAUUGUAUAAGAAACAGAGAUAUUACAUUAAACAUCUAUCGUAAUAUUAGAAUUUGAUAUAAAAGCAAAACAAUUAGAAUAAGUAAAUAUAAAAUAUGAUAAAAAAAAUGUAAAUAUGCAAUAUUUGAACACAUAAAUAUUUAAUAUAAAAAUAAAUAAUAAGUAAAUAUACAAUUAAGAAAUGGAAAUACAUAAAUUAACUUUCUAUCUGGAAAAUCUAUAGUAGAAUAAAUAAUAAGUAAAUAUAGAAUAUAAGAAACAAAAAUAUUAUAUUAAACAUCUAUUGUAAUAUUAGACUAAGUAUAUAUACAAUACAAAAAAAAAUAAACAAUAAGUAAAUAUAUAUUAUAAUAAAUAUAAAUAUUACAUUAAACAUCUAAUUUAAUAUUAUCAUUUGAUAUAAAAGCAAAAAAUUGGAAUAAUUAAAUAUACAAUAUAUAAAAAUAAACAAUAAGUAAAUAUACAAUAUCAAAAAUGGAAAAACUAAAUUAAACAUCUAUGUGAAAAAUGUAUAAUAAAAUAAAUAAUAAGUAAAAAUACACAUAAAAAACAAAAAAAAUAUAUUACAUUAAACAUCUCUUAUAAUAUUAGAAUAAGUAAAUAUAAAAUAUAAGAAAAAUAAAUAACAAGUAAAUAUAUAAUAUAAGAACUAGAAAACUACAUUAAACAUCUAUCUGAAAAAUAUAUAAUAAAAUAAAUAAUAAGUAAAUAUAUUGUAUAAGAAACAGAAAUAUUAUAUUAAACAUCUAUCGUAAUAUUAGAAUUCGAUAUAAAAUCAAAACAAUUGUAAUAAGUAAAUAUAAAAUAUAAGAACAAAUAAAUAAUAAGUAAAUAUACAACCUUUGCAAAAUUUACUGUAGAGCAGAUCUGUCCAAAUUUUUUUCUGAUCCCUCAUAUGGUCUUCUUGAAUCAGCUUUUAUUUCUUAUACCAGUCUCCAGUAAGCAAAAAUAAUUUCUAAAAUAUUAAGGGUAAAUCUUAAAAAGUUGUAACAGUUUUCUAAAAACCAAAAUAUAUAUUAUUUCAAAGGGUAAAUCUUAAAAAAUCUAAUUAUUUUUGUUCUUAUUUAUUUCUCUUAUAUACUAAAGUACAAGUCACUUGACCGACCAAAUUUGACAUGUGUAAUUUCCUUACAAAGCCUUAAAAAAAGUAAUAUGUUUUCAAAAAGUUAAAAUUUAACAUACUACCAAAAAAAAAUCAAAACUGUCUCAAGUUCCUUUAGUUUUAUGUAAUAGAAGAUGUUAUCUGUCAAGCGAAGGUAACAGCGGACGAUGUGCUUUAGAAGCCUAGGAGAAGGUGCUUCUGCAAGUGAAGUCACCAUAUUCCCCAAAACUCGACUCAGAGCAAAGAAUCUAUCCACACAGACGCACAUGUAACGAAGCCCUUCGUUGUCCAGCAAAAUUUUCUGGAUAAUGAAGGUUGCAACCUGACACUAAAAAAAAAACAAAAACAAAUCAAUCUAAUGAGCUGUUGCAUUGCCGAAAUCAAUCAUAAGAAGCAUCUGAAAGUAGAGAAAACUCACAGUUUUUGAUAACUCGCUGCCACUUUCCAUUGUCUGGAGGCACAAUGGGAUGAUUUCAGUUUCAAGAAGGAACUUGAUCACUUCCGUAUCCUCAACCUACCAAAACAAAUGAACAAUGUUGCUAACACCAAUAUAAAAAUAACAAUGAUUCUGUGAUGUCUUAACAGUUUUCACUCAAAGGUUUUAGCAUGUUAAAAUGGUUGAUUAAUUCUCAGAUUAUAUACUUGCCAGGGGAAUAUGGUUUUAAUAGCUAGACAUACCUUGACAAGUGCACCAAAUAUUAUAAAAAUGAUGAAACUUGAUCCUCAUGAACAAAAACAUUUGUUAGCAUCAUCGAUACUCAAAGAAG
rnacentral:lncRNA from 1 species